AUAUAUAUAUAUAUAUAUAAUUUUUUGCAUUAUAGCAAACUAAGCAGCACUGAACUAAACAAUUUUUUUUUCUCUCUAUGCAUUUGUUCGUGUGUCUUAAUGCUGUUAGUGGUCUGUCAAAUCAUUGUUUGCGACGAAUCAGCCUUUUAGUAUUGUUUGUUUCAGGUUGUGGGUUUGCUAGAUUGAACAUAACAAACAACAGUUUAAAAAAUGUGGUUUGUUUGUAUUACUGUAUUGUAUGAAUCACAUUGUUCCACUAACAUAAUAUCCAGUUUGGAUUGCCUUGUUCUGAUAUCAGCUAACACUUUAUAUCCUUCAUCCUCCAUUGUGUCUUUGAGAAAUAUUUCAAUCAAUUAUUUUCAAUAAAAUAAAAAAAAUUACAUUUCU